rnacentral:rRNA from 1 species
GUAACGAGCGCAACCCUUGUCCUUAGUUACCAGCACGUUAUGGUGGGCACUCUAAGGAGACUGCCGGUGACAAACCCGGAGGAAGGUGGGGAUGACGUCAAGUCAUCAUGGCCCUUACGGCCUGGGCUACACACGUGCUACAAUGGUCGGUACAAAGGGUUGCCAAGCCGCGAGGUGGAGCUAAUCCCAUAAAACCGAUCGUAGUCCGGAUCGCAGUCUGCAACUCGACUGCGUGAAGUCGGAAUCGCUAGUAGUCGUGAAUCAGAAUGUCACGGUGAAUACGUUCCCGGGCCUU